rnacentral:rRNA from 1 species
UACGGAGGAUGCAAGCGUUAUCCGGAAUUAUUGGGCGUAAAGCGUCCGCAGGUGGCCCAUCAAGUCUGCUGUCAAAGACGGAAGCUCAACUUCUGGCAGGCAGUGGAAACUGGUAGGCUAGAGUACGGUAGGGGUAGAGGGAAUUUCCAGUGUAGCGGUGAAAUGCGUAGAGAUUGGAAAGAACACCAGUGGCGAAGGCGCUCUACUGGGCCGUAACUGACACUCAGGGACGAAAGCUAGGGGAGCGAAAGGG